ensembl:lncRNA RAD51 associated protein 2
GUUGACUACUUCACACGACGCACACACAGAAUCAUCUGAAGUCUGUUUGAUCGCUGUUGAGAGAAGCUUCAAACUGCUGGUGAGAGAUGAGCAGCUUUCAGUUUCUGAGACUUACAAACUCAGCUCAUACCCAACAGAUGAUGCAGGUAGGGCAUUAGCAGAAUCUCACACUUCAAAAGACGCUAGCACUGACACGUCCAGUCAUCCUGAAUGCAACUGGCUGGGGAAAUCACUUGAACACGAGCCCCCUGGUUGUUGCAUUCUUCACGCUGGAAAUGACGAAUAUGGGAGACAGGUGCAAAAUAGUGUCAGUCAAAUCCAAGCAUUCACCCUCAAUUCCAGUGAUGAGGGGGUCAGAUGUCAGUCAGAUUGCAUUCAUGGAGAUGCGUUAUAUGACACAGGUUUCUGUAAUGCAUGGAGCCAAUCUGCAGAAGUGGAAGACAGUAAUCAGAAGAGGGGUGAGCAUGGAUUUAGUGAGACUAUCCUUUUCAGCGAGGAAAAGGCAGAAGAUAACAGACCCAAAUCUUCCCCUGAUUAUGCAGUCUCUAAAUCAUUCUACUCAAACCCUGAAGAGCAAUCCUCUGGGAGCGUGGUAGAAAGUGUAAAAAAUGAGGAAAGAAUAUUAGAAUUUCAGAUAUGUGACACUGAAAAUGUUGCCAUCUGUGAUGGGGAAACAAAAGGCCAAGUUAAUGAGAAUGGCAUCAGCAACAACUCUAUCCCUUCUGCUGAUGAAUGUGCUAAGGGAUCAAUGGUUUGUUAUGAUGUGGUAUUAGCCAGAAAUAUUGCAAUUGAGAGUGUGAGUCUCGAAGCCGAUGACUUCUAUGGGGCAAAAGGAGAGCAUGCUGCUGGCAAGAUGAUAGCCAAAGCUGGGAGUGAAACUGGCUGAUCACACAACAGAGACUCCAAUGCCUGCAAGAAUCAGUCAAGAGCCUGCGGAAGGAGAUAAUGAGGCAAGCCCUUUCAGUGUAAUUGACCCUGCAAUCGGGAGUGAAACUGACAGGGAGGCUGAGGAGAAACGCUUUAAUUCAGGGAGCAAUGCAGGUGUGGAAUUAUUUACAUCAGCAAAAGUCUGCGAGAUGGAAACACCUCUUCCACUCUAUUCUGACGUGCGGCUAUCACAGGAGGUUUCAGGUCCCGACCAGAUCGGGCACUUUAAUCACCAUAGCAGAACACAACAGUUCAAAGAUGAAAAAGAGGACCUAUGGCAGUCAUACUCAGAUCCACCGGCUUGUUCUCUUCCCACCGACAAAACUCAAAACAAGACUGGCAACGAAGGCAGCUGUCACUGGAAAUCCAGUCCCAGCAUCAGUCAGUGCAGGCCAGCAGAUCCUCCUUCUGCAGAGGGUGUAAGACAAGAAAGCCAUGAUACUGUGGGACAUCAAUUGAAAGAGCAGGAUCAGUCCGGCUGUUUUCCUCUCAGUCCUGACCACCUAAAGACACAGGAGGUGGAAUAUUUACAGACAAAUUAUGAAAUUGCCAGAAUAGAUGUAAAAACUGAGAUAAAUGAAAAAGAAGGAAUGGCAAGUUUUGAAGAAGAAAUAAAAACUGAUGAACAUGGGAAGUCAGGAAUCUCACCAGACUUGGAGGAAAAACUGCUGCAACAAAAUAAAAAACCCAUAGAAGACACUAAACUAUCAACUGGUGACUGCAUCAGUGACUGGACAGAGGGCAACAUAAGUACAUAUGGCAACACAUUAGCACACAUUGAUGAUGAAAUAGGGAAUAACCUCGAAUGCUUGUCUGAUCACUCAUACAAUGCUGUAAUUAUGGAAUGGAAGAUGGAAGAGACAACAGAGGAAAAGGAAAGAGAGAAAGAGGCAAGUGUUGGAGAAGAAACUGAUGUGCAUGGUAACUCAGAGAUAUUAGGGAAAUCAGAGGAUGAUCAUCAGAGAGUAAGUCAACAGAAAAGAGACAUGACUGAGGAAUGUAUCAGUGAAUGUAGAGAGGACAACAUGUGUAGAAGUGGCCACAAAUUAACCUUUGUUAAUCAACAUGAACAAGAAAACAAGCGCAGUUGUUUCUCUGAUUACCAACACAGAGCUGAGAUAUUCAUGCUUGAAAAUAAAGAUGACCUUUCGGCGUUCACGUUCCCCCCAACAAGUGAUGCAGUUGUGCCAAGUCUACAUGAAUUACUCCAUUCACAACAUGCUGACAGAAACCCCACAGCCCUAAACGGUAAUGACAGAUUUUCCCCAAUGCCAUCUGCCUUAACUUUCAACGACCGUGUGGGCUUUGACACUUUCGAAAAGAUCCAGCUCUCACUAGAUGAUGAUGGUGGCCUGAGCAACAGCCGUCUUCUCACCAGCCUAGCCGGGCAGCUGUUGAAAACACCCGAGCAACAACUUUACCACUCUAUGCCAGAGGCAGAGAGCAAUGACCAUGAGGAGGUACCAGAAGAGGAGGAGGAAGAGAGCGAGGAGGAGAUGGAAAUAUUUGAAUGUUACACUGAGAACAUGGCAAAGGCAUUUUCAAGCAGGGAUACCAGUUGUAAUGAACUCCCAAACUGUAUCUCAGCAGCAUCAGCAGAUGUCAUUGCUCUCGGAUGGCCAGAUCAACAGCCUAACUGUGAAUCAUCUUAUAAUUCCUAUGAGUGCUUCGUGGAUGAUUUUAACGCACAAUCAGGGUCCUCCACUGUUCCCUCUAAGAGCGACAGUCUAGCCUCCGAUGUGAACCACAGCCCCAAAUUUCAGAUGAAAAAACAAUUUGACAUGGUCUUGAAAGAGCUGAAAUUAUAUUUUGAAAUCAGUCUAAGUGAUUUUGCAAGUGACAGUCGAGCAUCGACACCUGAGCAGUGUAGUGAUAAAACUGAAGCUUUGGAGGGCGACGCUUCAAACUGCAAAGAAGAAGUAGAACGCUACAGAGACACGUCAUCAGAUGAUGCGGAUGAAGCCGGCAGUCUGGAAAUGUGUGGAGGUGAUGCAGUGGUUUCUUGUACCUCUGGCAUCGGGGGCGGUGAGCAGGAGGUGCCCCUUGGCAGUCACCUGUGCCAGGACACAUCCAUGUACACUGCAGAGAACCAAAAAGAGAGCCGGGAUAUGGAGCAGAAAAGGAAAAUGUGGUCUCCUUCCUUCGGGUGUCAACCAUUCCUGGAACAACUGAGCCACAGACAGCCGGAGCAACACAGGAGACUGGAGCCUCUCAGAACAUGCACAAGGCCGAUCCGGGUUGGACUUUCAAAGAGAGCCAAGACUAAACACCUACACCGUCCCCACCCUUACAAGUGUUAAUGAAGCUCUCCUCUGUUGCAAUGUUCAAUAACUGAAUUGUUUUCUGGUUUUUAUAGUGUUUUAUAUUGUGAGUGGUUAUAGUUCCUGUACAUUUUAACUGCCUCUUAAUCCACGGAAGGUUUAAUCUACAAAAUGCCCAGUCACAUUUACAAGCAUCCUCUUAUAGGAGGUUCCCAUGUAAUCAGUCUGCUGCUGUUUGCCCACUAAACAGCUGAGCUGCAGCAGCUGGGGAGUAGGUUCCUUACCCAAGGACACGCUGACAGUAUUUGAAAGAGAACCGGCUUAAUGUUUGGCCAGCUGGAAAAAUAUUCUGGUUUUAAAAAUAUUUUAAGUAUUUAUUUAUUUAUUUAUGGCCCUAUUUCCAACCUAGCUUAGGGUUUUAUUGAUAUGCUAUUUGUACAGUUAAUAUUUAUUUAUUUAUAUUUAACUACUUUUUGCAUUGUUGUGUUGUUUAAAUGACAUCCACUUUCUCAGGUUUGUUCCAUAUAAUUUGGUUCUUAUGUGUAUCACUGUGGGCGUAUUGACACAGUAUUCUACUUGUUCCUGUAAUGUGUGGGCGUAUUCAGUCGGGGUAAAUGAGCAGAGUAUGCACUGUUACUGUGGUGUUGUGCUUUUACCAAUAAAUGGGUUCACGUGUACUGUGCAACAUAUCCUUGAGCAGUUCUGUGGGAGGCCAGCAUUUGAAAAUAGCCUGUUUACCAUUUAAUUAAAUGAUAUAAUUGCAUAU